rnacentral:rRNA from 2 species
AUAUGAGAUCAUACCAACUCACAUGCACUGGAUCCCAUCAAAACUCCAAAGUUAAGAGGGUUUGGAAAAGAGUAAUACUAGAAUAGGUGACCUCUUGAGAAGUCCUCGUUUUGCAUC